GAUGUAUACACUAUACAGUCUUUUUCCAUUAUUUUCUUUUUCUAUUUAAUUGAAAAAAAAUAUUCAACACAAUACAGUUGUAUUGUCACAUUAGCUGUUUUGAAGUAAAGAUGUCAUAAAGAAAAGAAAAUAAAGUUUUCCUCUGGGGUUUCUGGGGGUACAUUUGUCAAGCUAUAGGGGGUAAAGGUACCCUUUUAACUUCUGGUAUUUAUAUGUUUGUUCGUUAGUUAUAAUUAUUAGUUAGUUAGUUAAUUAUAACCCACCAUUCCUCAAAUGAACUUCAGGAAGCAUUCAUGUCCUCUCCUAUCACCUUACAUUCACAGAUCUAUGCAGAAGACCUGGCCAACUGAAACAGGGUGAAUGGCUCAAGAUCAUACAAAUGGCUGUCUGGAGGGAUGUAAUUCCAGUUUCUUGCUUCUGCACACCAUUAUUUACAAGACACAGCAACCAUGCUGAAGAAGAAGCUCUCAGGAGAAGGAGGAUGGAGAUGAAUGCUCAUGGAAAGCUCUAGACAUUCUUACAGAAGCCGGGCAAGAUACCAGACCAAUCUACAUCUCCAUUGACAUCAUGCCAUUUCUCCUCCAGUAUAAAGGCAAGACUCAAGAGUAAGGAUGUCAAUGUUGACUGUAUCUUUCUUUGUGUAGUAAGUGGGGCAUUGGCAAUACAAAUAAAAUUCAGUAUACACUAUGAUGUACUGAGAGUUUUUUCCCCAAAUAGAUUUUAGACAUAUUUAAAUAAUUUUCUUGCAUUUCUUUAGACUGUGCGAAAUAGAAAAAAAAUCACUAUUGUCUUGUUGCAUAGACUAGUAAAUGUGACAGAAUUUGAUGAGUUGUUUGUGUUUUUGUGAGAAAAAGUAUUUUGUAGCCACUUUUGAAACUGCAAGAAAGAUGUUUGUAGCAGAAGCUUUCAUAGACUGAGGGUGCAUCUACUUUGUAGAAUUAAUACAGCCCGAUACCAUUUUAACUGUCAUGCCUCGCUG
rnacentral:lncRNA from 11 species